GAUGAACGCUGGCGGCGUGCUUAACACAUGCAAGUCGAACGAACCUUCGGGUUAGUGGCGGACGGGUGAGUAACGCGUGAGAAUCUGCCCUCAGGAGGGGGACAACAGCUGGAAACGGCUGCUAAUACCCCAUAUGCCGCGAGGUGAAAUGAAUUUCGCCUGAGGAUGAGCUCGCGUCUGAUUAGCUAGUUGGUGUAGGUAAUGGCUCACCAAGGCAUCGAUCAGUAGCUGGUCUGAGAGGAUGAUCAGCCACACUGGGACUGAGACACGGCCCAGACUCCUACGGGAGGCAGCAGUGGGGAAUUUUCCGCAAUGGGCGAAAGCCUGACGGAGCAACGCCGCGUGAGGGAUGAAGGCCUCUGGGCUGUAAACCUCUUUUAUCAAGGAAGAAGAUCUGACGGUACUUGAUGGAUAAGCCACGGCUAAUUCCGUG
rnacentral:rRNA from 1 species